rnacentral:rRNA from 1 species
GAUGAACGCUGGCGGCGUGCCUAAUACAUGCAAGUCGAGCGAACAGACGAGGAGCUUGCUCCUCUGACGUUAGCGGCGGACGGGUGAGUAACACGUGGAUAACCUACCUAUAAGACUGGGAUAACUUCGGGAAACCGGAGCCAAUACCGGAUAAUAUAUUGAACCGCAUGGUUCAAUAGUGAAAGACGGGUUUGCUGUCACUUAUAGAUGGAUCCGCGCCGCAUUAGCUAGUUGGUAAGGUAACGGCUUACCAAGGCAACGAUGCGUAGCCGACCUGAGAGGGUGAUCGGCCACACUGGAACUGAGACACGGUCCAGACUCCUACGGGAGGCAGCAGUAGGGAAUCUUCCGCAAUGGGCGAAAGCUUGACGGAGCAACGCCGCGUGAGUGAUGAAGGUCUUCGGAUCGUAAAACUCUGUUAUUAGGGAAGAACAAAUGUGUAAGUAACUAUGCACGUCUUGACGGUACCUAAUCAGAAAGCCACGGCUAACUACGUG